rnacentral:tRNA from 3 species
GGGCACGUAGCUCAGUUGGUUAGAGCGUUCGCCCGAUAAGCGAAAGGUCGGCAGUUCGAGUCUGCCAGUGCCCA